rnacentral:sRNA from 1 species
GCAUCAUGGCGGCUGGCCGGGCCCAGGUCCCUUCCUCCCUUCGUCUCAGUACAGGACCUCAAGACUCACCAGCGUCUCCCAUGCUGCAGCCACCUGUCCUGGAGCAGUAGUGCAUACCAGGCCUGGGCCCAAGAGGCUGGACCAAAUGGGAACCCCCUGCCCCGAGAGCAGCUGUUACUUUUAGGGACACUAACAGACCUAUCGGCGGACUUGGAACAAGAGUGCAGGAAUGGAAGCCUCUAUGUGAGAGAUAACACUGGCGUCCUGAGCUGUGAGCUCAUAGACCUGGACCUUUCUUGGUUGGGCCAUCUUUUUCUGUUCCCCUGUUGGAGUUACCUCCCUCCUGCCAGGUGGAAUUCCUCAGGGGAAGGGCACUUGGAGCUGUGGGAUGCCCCUGUGCCAGUGUUUCCUUUGACCGUCAGUCCUGGCCCUGUCACGCCUAUCCCUGUCCUCUACCCAGAGAGUGCUUCCCGCCUGCUCAGGCUCAGAAACAAGCUCAGAGGUGUGCAGCGAAACCUGGCUGGGAAUCUAGUUCGAUUGAGUGCUCUGGUGAAAAGUAAACAGAAGGCCUACUUCAUCCUGUCUCUUGGUAGAUCACACCCAGCUGUGACCCACGUGUCUGUCAUCGUGCAGGUCCCUGCCCAGCUGGUGUGGCACAGAGUCCUUCGGCCUGGUACGGCCUAUGUGCUCACAGAAUUGCGAGUGUCCAAGAUCCGUGGUCAGCGCCAGCAUG